rnacentral:rRNA from 1 species
AGUGAACGCUGGCGGUAGGCCUAACACAUGCAAGUCGAACGGCAGCACAGUAAGAGCUUGCUCUUACGGGUGGCGAGUGGCGGACGGGUGAGGGAUACAUCGGAAUCUACUUUUUCGUGGGGGAUAACGUAGGGAAACUUACGCUAAUACCGCAUACGACCUACGGGUGAAAGCAGGGGAUCUUCGGACCUUGCGCGAUUGAUGAGCCGAUGUCGGAUUAGCUAGUUGGCGGGGUAAAGGCCCACCAAGGCGACGAUCCGUAGCUGGUCUGAGAGGAUGAUCAUCCACAGGAGCAGUGAGACGCGGUGCAGAGUUCUAGGUGGGGGCGAAGGGGGGAAUAUCGGACAAGGGGCGAAAGCAUGACCCACCCAUGCCGCGGGGGGGAAGAAGGUCUUUGGUUUGUAAAGCCCUUUUGUUGUGAAAGAAAAGAGGCAGGUUAAUACCCCGCUGUUCUGCCGAUACCAAAAAAAUAAGCACUGGCUAAUUCCGUGCCAGCGGCCGCGGUAAUAGAUCGACGAGCACUUGUCUAAC